rnacentral:rRNA from 1 species
ACGGGUCCUUCAAAUGUCUGCCCUAUCAACUUUCGAUGGUAGGUGACCUGCCUACCAUGGUGAUAACGGGUAACGGGGAAUCAGGGUUCGAUUCCGGAGAGGGAGCCUGAGAAACGGCUACCACUUCCAAGGGAUUUUUUUUUGCGCGCAAAUUACCCACUCCCAGUACGGGGAGGUGGUGACGAAAAAUACCGAUGCGGGACUCAUUUAUGAGGCUCCGUAAUCGGAAUGAGUGGACUCUAAAUCCUUUCACGAGGAUCAAUUGGAGGGCACUGCAGUUAACAGCUCGUAGCUGGAUCUCGGCAGCAUUGUUGCCUGCACAGUAUCCAAAGACGGGAGAGCAUCAUGUCGCACAUGUAUGUGUGUAGUCCUCCAACGAUCGAUUUACCUACCCUAGUCUGCCUGUAGAGCCUUUAGCGUGUAUACGGCCUAGCAUUGGGUGGUUAUUCUCUUCCCAACAGACGACUGCUUAUCAUAUGUGUCUCGGUAGGUGUAUCUGAAGCACUUUCGUGUUGAGCUGGCAAGGCGAUGGAGCCACCUUUGAGCCCCGUCCGCAGCGCAAUAGCUACGGGUGCAAGCGUCCGUCGGUUAACGCUCUACUGCUGUUGCGUAUACUCACCAGCUCGUCUGCAUGCAGACGAAUGCACGUCAAUCGGAGGUCGUGGUACUACGCACAUACUUGUUUGACAUGAUGUACAUGCUCUUUUUUGUUUACUGUUGCCUGAAAAUGCUAC